rnacentral:rRNA from 1 species
UGUCGGUGGGGAUUAGUGGCGAACGGGUGAGUAACACGUGGGCAAUCUGCCCUGCACUCUGGGACAAGCCCUGGAAACGGGGUCUAAUACCGGAUACUGACCCGCUUGGGCAUCCAAGCGGUUCGAAAGCUCCGGCGGUGCAGGAUGAGCCCGCGGCCUAUCAGCUUGUUGGUGAGGUAAUGGCUCACCAAGGCGACGACGGGUAGCCGGCCUGAGAGGGCGACCGGCCACACUGGGACUGAGACACGGCCCAGACUCCUACGGGAGGCAGCAGUGGGGAAUAUUGCACAAUGGGCGAAAGCCUGAUGCAGCGACGCCGCGUGAGGGAUGACGGCCUUCGGGUUGUAAACCUCUUUCAGCAGGGAAGAAGCGAAAGUGACGGUACCUGCAGAAGAAGCGCCGGCUAACUACGUGCCAGCAGCCGCGGUAAUACGUAGGGCGCGAGCGUUGUCCGGAAUUAUUGGGCGUAAAGAGCUCGUAGGCGGCUUGUCACGUCGGUUGUGAAAGCCCGGGGCUUAACCCCGGGUCUGCAGUCGAUACGGGCAGGCUAGAGUUCGGUAGGGGAGAUCGGAAUUCCUGGUGUAGCGGUGAAAUGCGCAG